rnacentral:tRNA from 1 species
UGAGGUGUAGCUCAGUGGUAGAGUGUUUGAAUAGCAAAUGUAGAGAGGCCCUGGGUUCAAUCCCCAGUACUACAA